GACGAACGCUGGCGGCGUGCUUAACACAUGCAAGUCGAACGGUGAAGCGCCUUCCUUUUUGGUGGGUGUGGAUGAGUGGCGAACGGGUGAGUAACACGUGAGUAACCUGCCCCCUUCUUCUGGAUAACCGCAUGAAAGUGUGGCUAAUACGGGAUAUUCUGGGUCUGUCGCAUGAUGGGUCUGGGAAAGAUAUUGUUUCGGUGGGGGAUGGGCUCGCGGCCUAUCAGCUUGUUGGUGGGGUGAUGGCCUACCAAGGCGGUGACGGGUAGCCGGCCUGAGAGGGGGGGCGGUCAGACGGGGAGUGAGACACGGGGGAGACGCCUACGGGAGGCAGCAGGGGGGAAUAUUGCACAAUGGGCGCAAGCCUGAUGCAGCGACGCCGCGUGAGGGAUGGAGGCCUUCGGGUUGUGAACCUCUUUCGCCAGUGAAGCAGGCCUGCCUCGUUUGUGGGUGGGUUGACGGUAGCUGGAUAAGAAGCGCCGGCUAACUACGUG
rnacentral:rRNA from 1 species